rnacentral:rRNA from 1 species
UCAGGAUUAACGCUGGCGGCAUGCCUAAUACAUGCAAGUCGAAUGGAAGAGCUUGCUUUCCAUGGCGAACGGGUGAGUAACACGUAGGUAACCUACCUCAAGGACGAGGAUAACCUUUGGAAACGAAGGAUAAUACUGGAUAGGACAUCAUAAAACACAUGUUUAGAUGUUUAAAGGAGCAAUCCACCAUAAGAGGGGGCCCUGCGGCGCAUUAGCUAGUUGGUAAGGUAAAGGCCUACCAAGGCGAUGAUGCGUAGCCGGACUGAGAGGUUGAACGGCCACAAUGGGACUGAGAACGGCCCAUACUCCUACGGGAGGCAGCAGUAGGGAAUUUUCGGCAAUGGACAAAAGUCUGACCGAGCAAUGCCCGCGUGAUCGAAGAAGUAUUUCGGUAUGUAAAGAUCUUUUAUCAGGGAAGAAAAGACAGAUUGACUGAACCUGAUGAAUAAGCUCCGGCUAACUACGUGCCAGCAGCCGC